GGGCGUAAUGGGUUUACCGGAUCGAUGAUUGCUAAUACAGACUGGUUAUUAGUUAUGGUUGAUAAUGGGGGAACAUAAUAAACACACACGUGAAAUAUGUCAGUGUUAUUUUGACAGGUUUUUAACAGGUUGCAGUAACUCUAGGUGGACGCUAGGUGGAGCUGGUUCCAUCUCUAACCACUGCUUCACCAGGCAGACGAUUAACCUUAACUUUUAAGCGAUCUGCAAAUUAAGCGAUUUGUGGCUUUUGUGAGAUAAUGGGUGUAUGUUUGUGCAUUCCCAGAGAACAUUAAAAGGUUGAAAUAAUGUAUACAAAAAACUUGAUUUAUUGAAUUUGAAAAUAUCCUUGAAAGUAAAUACCUACAUAAACAGAAUGACAGGUUCACCAACCACAUAAUAAUAAAAACUAUGGAUACAAGACGAUCGCUUCCAACUGAAGAUACAAACACCUCAACAAACACAAAUAAAAAUAAACAAUAACUACUCAAAGAGGGAUCUUCACAAUUAAAACAGCAAAGGCCAUGCACACAACAAUUAUUAAUGUUAGUUGUUAGAAAUGCUGGUUCCAUGAAACAUUUUUACCGUAGCAUCUAUCAUUUCUGCAAACGCUCGCAAGCGACAACUCAAAGUAUUCCUGUUCCAGUCCUGGUCGAUAUGACACACUCCCAGCCACACUACAGAAUAUCUUCAUCUCCGUAUUCUCCCGACUCUGAAGACGAUGCACCAAGGUGCCCGCUACACACAGUCUCCGUACGAAGCAGAGAGGAGGUUAGCGUACCGUGACCGUCGCUGGAUACGCAGCCGGCCGCCAUGUUGCUCCGGCACGCGCUGCGUCAGCGGGAAUCAACUCCGAUACUCUGACAGCGAGAGAGAGAGAGGGAGAGAGAGGGAGAGAGAGAGAGAGAGAGGGAGAGACGGAAAGCGAGCAGGUGAUAAAGACGGAGAGGGAGACGGUGAGAUGGCACGAAAGAGAGAAACAGAAAGACAGACAGACCGAGAGGGAUAGAGAGAAAAAGUGAUAGAUAGGGACAGUGAUUGACAGAUGGAGUGAUUGAUAGGGACAGAGUGAGAGAGAGUGAUGGAUAGAGCGGGGAACAGAGAGUGAGACAGUGAUAGUGACAGAGGGAGAGACAAAGAGAUAGAGAGAGACAGAGCAAGAGAGAGACAGAGGGUGCAUAGGAGACAGUGCCAUGGCAGGUACUGUUCUCUGGUGUUGGGUUGGGUUGGGUUGGGUGGGGGGGGGGG